GGGAAGAACAGCUAUGGUGACUGGAGGGCCCAAAGCCUGAAGACAGAUGGUGGGUGGGAGGAUGGGAGUGGGAUCAGGGGUCUUGGAGAAAGGGUUCACGAGAAUGCCUGGGAUAAGGGAGAGGUAUGGAGGGAUCUCCUUCACUGGAGCCAUAUCCCAAUGUCUUUUGGGACAGCAAGGGCCAGUUAUCUUUUGUUACAAGAGAUCAAUUGUCCUGAAAAAUGCCAGUCAACCAGUAACAGGAAUAUGGGAACCACACAGCAGAAUGACCCCAGGGGUGGGAUGUGGGUGAACCCUGAAGCCCCUUUUAUUCUAAAGCCAGAGUGCUGGUUCCUGCUCUUUAAAGUCCAAAAGGAGGUGGGAGAGUGUGGCAUAUAUCUUAUGGCAGACCCGGGCCCCCUCCAGGAGUACCCCAUCUCCAUCCCUGGAUGCUUCUGGAAAUUCAGCAGGGCUUCAUGCCAGGAGGAGACUGCUGACCUUCAGGCAAUGUCCAUCCACUGGGGAUGACCUGCUCCUCCCCCAGAGGCACCCCUGUGCGCACCCUGGUUUAGCCCAAAGCUGUGUCUGUGGGGACUGGUGACAACAUUCCGAGCUUCUUCCCUCACUGUUUUUUGUCAGUGAGGGUCAGAUGAGGUGGAGGAGUAGGUUGUUCCUAGUAGGCUGGGACCCCAGAAUGAGCCACAAAACUUAUGUAACAAUAAAAUAUAUUCCCAAUGCUUCCUUCAGAGGGUGUCUUACAGAGAGCAGUUGCUUUCUCAACCGUGUCAGACGGCAGUCCUGGAAGAAGUCAGACCAUCUUUAUUCACGGACAGCAAGAUCAGCUCCAUAAAAAGUCCUCCUGAAUCUUCCAAAAAGCUACGAGGUCCAAGAAGUCAGUUUCGUAAGAUUACAACAAAUAAGAUCAAUCUACCCAAACUGUUUUCCUAUACUAGCAACACACAACAAAAAAAUUGGAAAUUUAAAAUACAACUUAUAUGGCAUAAAACUAUGAAACACUUAGUUUGAAUUUUGACAAAAGAGAUACAAGGUCUGUACAUGGAAAGCAAUUAAUACUGCAGGGACAUUAAAGAAGACAGAAAGGGAGAGAUACCACAUUCAUGGGCCACAAGAUUUGAUAUGGGUGUUAAGCUGUUUUCCCCAAAUUAAUCUAUGGAUUUAAUGCAAUGCCAAUCGAAACCUCAGUGACCUUUCUGUAAAAGUUGACCAGCUGGAGCUGGGGGUGUUGCCUAGGGAGGCCCUUGGUCUGAUCUCUAGCAUUGCCAAAAACAAAUACCCGCAGACUGACAAGCUGAUAGCGAAACUGAUACAGAAAUACAAAAGACAUAAAAUAUCCAAAAUAAUUUAGAAAAAGAACAACGCUGUAGGACCAACCUUAUCUUAUUUCCAGACUCAUCAUCACAAAGCUAUAGGAACCAAGACAGUGGAAUUGGUGCCAAGAUAGAUCAAAGGAACAGAGCAGAGAAUCCAGGAACAGGAGAUAUGGACAACUGCACUUCAACAGUGGUGCAGAGUCAACUGGGGGUGGGGUGGGGAUCUUUUCAUCAAGUGUGCUAGAACCAUUGCAUACUAAUCUGCAAAAAAGUGAACUGUGAUCAGCAAGUCCCCUCAUGGACAGAAACUAACUCCAUCUGUGAUACUCAGAAGUACAGUAUAUACUUGGUUUUCCUCUUAUUUCAUGACUCACAGCUCCCAAAACCCUGGGAACCUCCAGAGUGAUGUCUUUCAUAUACUAAUUAGAUGACUGGUCUCUGAGGACCCUUAGAUAGCUUUAGGGUACAGAAUUGUCACCAGAAAGACCCAGGCCUGUUUAAAGAGUUGAAACCUUUAAUCCCACACCUCUAAGGAGGGGAAAGAGGCUGAAGGUUGAGUUGAUCACUAAUGGCCAAGGAUGCAGCAAUCAUGCCUAGUAAUGACCCCUCAUAAAACCCCAGACAGGCUAGGUGUGGGGAGCUUCUAGAUAGCCGAACCCACGGAGGACACCCAGAGAGAGCAGGGAGGCUCCCCCUCUUUCCCACAUGCCCUGCCCUCGUCAUCUCUUCCAUCUGGACUGUUGAUCUGCACCCUUCUUUAUAAUAUAUAGAAGGGUAAAUAUAUGAAAAGCAUUCUUUAUAAUAUAUGGGUAAAUAUAUGAAAAGCAUUUCCCCGAGGGCUGUGAGCCAUCCUGGCAAGGCAACUGAUCCCAGGAUCCCACACAUCUGGCAUCAGAAGUGUUGAGUGGCGUGUGAGAGGAGGAAUGAGCUGUUUUCCCCUCUAGAUCACAGACCUAAAUGUAGCUGUGAAAAUUCUAGAAGAAAACACAGGAGGAAAACCUUUGGACAUUAUGUGAGGCAAAAAGUUCUGAGAUGCAGAUUUAACUUUAAAAAAAAAAUAAAUCGUACAUAUUGUUAAAUUGGACUUAAUUGAGAUUUUUUUUUGUUCUUUCAAAGGUGCUAUUAAAAGAAUGAUAGGUCACAGGUUGGGAGAAAAUAUUUGCAAAUCAUAUAUCUGAUAAAGGACUUAUAUUCAGAAUAUGAAUAUAUAUAUAUAUAUAUAUAUACACAUACAUAUACAUAUACAUAUAUAUGCAUAUAUAUUUUAAAAUAUAUAUAUAUUUCAAGAAUAAGAAACAACAAAAUAGAGGCUGGGGUUGUGGCUCAGUGGUAGAGCACUUGCCUAGCAUGUGUGAGGCACUGGGUUUGAUCCUCAGCACCACAUAUAAAUAAAUGAAUAAAAUAAAAGUCUAUCAACAUCUUAAAAAAUUAAAACAAAAGAAACAACAAAAUGAAAAUGUACAGAAGAUAUAAUAGAUACUUUACCAAGAAGAUAGAUGGCAAAUAAGCAUAUGGAAAGAAACCUGAACUCUCAUUAGUCAUUAAGGAAAUGCAGGUGAAAACCACAAUGAGCUACCACUGCCCGCCCAUUAGUUUGGCUAAAAUGAAAAAGGCUGACCCUACCGAGGCUGGAGGAGGACGUGGGGUUCUCAUGUAGUGCUGGGGGACAUGUGUAAUGGUACACCUCCCUUGGAAGACAGGGUAGCAAGAGAAGGAGUGAACCCUAAUCCCAUCUGACCCCGAUCUUCCUCUCCCAGGUGUUUGCUCAAGAGAAAGGAAAGCAUAUGUCCAUGCAGACUGUUCACAGAUGUCUUUGGCUGCUUGAUUUCUAAGAGCCCCAAACUAGAAACAAGCCAUCCAUCCAUCAGCCGGUCAAUUAAGAGACAUCAGUGGUGGUUUUUACCCAUACACAUGUCAAGACUCAGCCAGUUGAUACCUUCAGCAUGUGCAAUUUAUCAUAUGCUAGUUGCACCUUGGUAAACAACUGCAAUUUGAGACAAAAAAAGAAAAAAGAAAGAAAGAAAGAAUGGGCAGGUGCGAUGUAGGAUACUGGAUAGGAUUCUGGAAAGAAAUUAUGGGGUUAAAGCUGGUGAAAUUCAGAUACGGUCAGUGGUUUAGUUGACAAUGUUAUGCAAUGUGAAUUUGUGGGUUUUGAUAAUUUUGCUGUGAUCAUGUAGCCAGUGUGAACAUUAGGAGAGAGUGGGGGAGAGGGGAU
rnacentral:lncRNA from 1 species